UCUCGUCUGAUGACAUCGAGC
rnacentral:misc_RNA from 1 species